rnacentral:rRNA from 1 species
GAUCCUGGCUCAGGAUGAACGCUAGCUACAGGCUUAACACAUGCAAGUCGAGGGGCAGCAGGGCAAUAGCUUGCUAUUGCUGCUGGCGACCGGCGCGACGGGUGAGUAACGCGUACUCCAACCCUACCCCCGCGGUCAGGGACAGCCCGGCGAAAGUCGGAUUAAUACCUGAUGCAGUCAGAAGAGGGCAUCUGAUUUUGACGAAAGAUUCAUCGCCUCGGGAGUGGGGAUGCGUAGGAUUAGGCAGGCGGCGGGGUAACGGCCCACCGCGCCGACGAUCCGUUAGGGUUCUGAGAGGAACGGUCCCCCACACUGGUACUGAGACACGGACCAGACUCCUACGGGAGGCAGCAGUGAGGAAUAUUGGUCAAUGGGCGCGAGCCUGAACCAGCCAAGUAGCGUGCAGGACGACCGGCCCUAGUGGGUUGACAAACUGUCUUUUAUGCGGGGAUAAAGUGCGGCACGUGUGCCGUUUUGUAGGUACCGCAUGAAUAAGGACCGGCUAAUUCCGUGCCAGCCGCCGC